GAUGAACGCUGGCGGCGUGCCUAAUACAUGCAAGUCGAGCGAACGGACGAGAAGCUUGCUUCUCUGAUGUUAGCGGCGGACGGGUGAGUAACACGUGGAUAACCUACCUAUAAGACUGGGAUAACUUCGGGAAACCGGAGCUAAUACCGGAUGAUAUUUUGAACCGCAUGGUUCAAAAGUGAAAGACGGUCUUGCUGUCACUUAUAGAUGGAUCCGCGCUGCAUUAGCUAGUUGGUAAGGUAACGGCUUACCAAGGCAACGAUGCAUAGCCGACCUGAGAGGGGGAUCGGGCACACUGGAACUGAGACACGGUCCAGGCUCCUACGGGAGGCAGCAGUAGGGAAUCUUCCGCAAUGGGCGAAAGCCUGACGGAGCAACGCCGCGUGAGUGAUGAAGGUCUUCGGAUCGUAAAACUCUGUUAUUAGGGAAGAACAUAUGUGUAAGUAACUGUGCACAUCUUGACGGUACCUAAUCAGAAAGCCACGGCUAACUACGUG
rnacentral:rRNA from 1 species